rnacentral:rRNA from 1 species
AGGGCUGAUGCGGAGAAGGGUUUCGUGUGAACAGCCGUUGCACACGAGUCAGUCGAUCCUAAGUCCUAGGAGAAAUCCGAUGUAUGGGCGCGCGGCCCCGUAGGGCGAAAGGGAAUCCGGUCCCUAUUCCGGAACCCGGUCGCGGAACCGUCUCACGUCGGGCCCCCGGCUUCGGCCGGUAGCUCGUCGGGGUAACCCAAAAAGACCCGGAGAAGCCGUCGGGAGGUCUGGGAAGAGUUUUCUUUUCUGUUUGAGCGUUCGGGUUCCCUGGAAUUGUCUAGCACAGAGAGAGGGAAUGGAGCGCGUAGAGCACCGCAGUUGCGGCGGUGUCCAGACAUGCCCUUCGGACCUUGAAAAUCCGGGGACGGGCCACGUGGAGGUUCGCGCCGGUUCGUACCCAUAUCCGCAGCAGGUCUCCAAGGUGAAGAGCCUCUAGUCGGUAGACUAAUGUAGGUAAGGGAAGUCGGCAAAUGAUCCG